rnacentral:misc_RNA from 1 species
CUGUUACCAUUAUCAUCACACCCCUUAAUGCUGUGAGAUACAGUAAAAUCAUCCAAUAUGCCAAAAAUUUUAACCUCAAAAUCCAAUUUGUUUCUUUCCCAUUUCCUUGCCAGGAAGCUGGUCUCCCUGAAGUAUGUGAAAAUAUGGACUUGAUCCCUUCUCCAGAUUUGAUACCAAAUUUUUUUAGAGCAAGUAAUAUGCUACAAGAACCUUUAGAAAAAUGGCUCCAAGGGCUAGAAUCUCAGCCUAGUUGCAUCAUUUCAGAUAUAUGUUUCCCAUGGACUAGUGAUGUUUCUCUUAGGUUCAACAUUCCAAGAAUUGUCUUCCAUGGAAUUUCUUGCUUCACUCUCUUUUGUUCUCACAUCCUUUCUCACCACCAUGUUCUUAAGAAUGUCAACUCUGAUUCAGAGCCUUUUUCAGUUCCUGACAUCCCUGAUAGGAUUGAAUUCACUAAAGCACAGUUACCAGAAGCAAGAAAAGAUUUGAAAGCUGUGAUGGAACGGUUUAAGGAGGCUGAGCUCUCAGCAGAAGGGGUGGCGGUGAAUAGUUUUGAAGAGUUAGAACCAGCUUAUGUGGAAGGAUACAGAAAAGUAGUGAAGAAGAUAUGGUGUAUUGGUCCUCUUUCUCUGUAUAACACAAAUGAGAUCUCAAGUUAUGAGCAUAAGUCCCUCAAAUGGCUUGAUUCUAAGAAGCAAAGUUCUGUUUUAUACGUUUGCUUUGGCAGCCUCUGUCACUUUUUACCUCAACAGCUGAUAGAGCUUGGUAUGGGCCUGCAAGCAGCAAACCAUCCGUUCAUUUGGGUUGUAAAGGAAGGAGAUUAUUCAAAAGAGUUAGAAAAAUGGCUACUGGAGGAGAAAUUUGAAGAAAAGCUUGAAGGAAGAGGUCUUGUAGUUCGCGGAUGGGCACCACAGGUCCUGAUAUUAUCUCAUCCAGCAAUUGGUGGGUUCUUGACUCAUUGUGGCUGGAACUCAACACUGGAAGGGAUUUCUGCAGGUGUGCCAAUGAUAACUUGGCCUAUGUUUGCUGAGCAAUUCCAUAAUGAGAAGUUAAUAGUGCAAGUGUUGAAGAUAGGUGCAAGAGUUGGAGCUAAGGUAAUUGUGAACUGGGGAGGAAGAGAAGCUGGGUGUGUUGGUGAAGAGAGAGAACAUAAAGAAGGCAAUAAAUCAGUUGAUGGAUGAAGG